CCUACGGGGGGCAGCAGUGGGGAAUAUUGGACAAUGGGCGCAAGCCUGAUCCAGCAAUGCCGCGUGUGUGAAGAAGGCCUGCGGGUUGUAAAGCACUUUCAGUGGGGAGGAAAAGCUCAAGAUUAAUACUCUUGAGUCUUGACGUUAUCCACAGAAGAAGCACCGGCUAACUCUGUGCCAGCAGCCGCGGUAAUACAGAGGGUGCAAGCGUUAAUCGGAAUUACUGGGCGUAAAGCGCGCGUAGGCGGUUUGUUAAGUCGGAUGUGAAAGCCCCGGGAUCAACCUGGGAACUGCAUUCGAUACUGGCAGGCUAGAGUAUGGUAGAGGGAAGUGGAAUUCCGGGUGUAGCGGUGAAAUGCGUAGAUAUCCGGAGGAACAUCAGUGGCGAAGGCGGCUUCCUGGACCAAUACUGACGCUGAGGCACGAAAGCGUGGGGAGCGAACAGGAUUAGAUACCCGGGUAGUC
rnacentral:rRNA from 1 species